UCCGGUUUGUCACCGGCAGUCUCCUAUGAGUCCCCGGCCGAACCGCUGGCAACAUAGGACAAGGGUUGCGCUCGUUGCGGGACUUAACCCAACAUCUCACGACACGAGCUGACGACAGCCAUGCACCACCUGUCACGGGCCCUUACGGACACUGUAUUUCUACAGCUUUUCCCGUGAUGUCAAACCCAGGUAAGGUUCUUCGGGUUGCAUCGAAUUAAGCCGCAUGCUCCGCCGCUUGUGCGGGGACCCGUCAAUUCCUUUGAGUUUUAGCCUUGCGGCCGUACUCCCCAGGCGGGAUACUUAAUGCGUUAGCUUCGGCACGGCAGUCGUUGGUAAGACCGCCACACCUAGUAUCCAACGUUUACGGCGUGGACUAC
rnacentral:misc_RNA from 1 species